rnacentral:rRNA from 1 species
UACAGAGGGUGCUAGCGUUGUUCGGAAUUACUGGGCGUAAAGGGCGUGUAGGCGGUUGCGUAAGUCAGAUGUUAAAGACCUGGGCUUAACCUAGGGGCUGCGUUUGAUACUGCGUGACUAGAGGGCAGGAGGGGAGAGUGGAAUUUCCGGUGUAGAGGUUAAAUUCGUAGAUAUCGGAAGGAACACCAGUGGCGAAGGCGACUCUCUGGACUGUUACUGACGCUGAGGCGCGAAAGCGUGGGGAGCAAACAGG